AUGUCAAACAAAAUUGUUGCAUUGUUGUUGUUGGUGUGUGUUGUAAAUGUUCAAGGGAUAGAAACUGGGAAAUUGAUGACGCAUGAAGCAUGCUACGAGUAUUGCUACGCAUCCAUGAUGUACCCCAAAUUCAUUGCCGAUCCUAUAUGUAAAUUACGCUGUAAAUACCCCAUGUAUGAAAACCGACCUCUUCCUGUUAAUCCAGGACUAGAACAAUCCUUGCACGUAAGGAAAACUGGUACUCCGGAAAAUUCUCCGAUCCCAUCACCUAAAAUUCGUUGA